GUUCAAAAGAGGAAAGGCUUGCGGUGGAUACCUAGGCACCCAGAGAUGAGGAAGGGCAUAGCAAGCGAUGAACUGCUUCAGGGAGUUGAAAAUAAGCAUAGAUCCAGAGAUUCCCAAAUAGGUCAACCUUUUAAACUGCCUGCUGAAUCCAUGAGUAGGCAAGAGACAAUUUGGCAAACUGAAACAUCUUAGUAGCCAGAGGAAAGGAAUGCAAAAGCGAUUCCAAUAGUAGCGGCGAGCGAAAUGGGAGCAGCCUAAACCGUGAAAACGGGGUUGUGGGAGAGCAAUACAAGCGUUGUGCUGCUAGGCGAAGCAGUUGAGUGCCGCACCCUAGAUGGCUAAAGUCCAGUAGCUGAAAGCAUCACUAUCUUACGCUCUGACCCGAGUAGCACGGGGCACAUGGAAUCCCAUGUGAAUCAGCAAUGACCACCUUGCAAGGCUAAAUACUCCUGGGUGACUGAUAGAGAAGUAGUACCGUGAGGGAAAGGUGAAAAGAACCCCCAGUGGGUAGUGAAAUAAAACGUGAAACCAUGCUGAGCUCCCAAGCAGUGGGAGGGGAAAGUGAUCUCUGAACGCGUGCCUGUUGAAGAAUGAGCCAGCGACUCAUAGGAAGUGGCUUGGUUAAGGUAACAGAACCCACCGGAGCCGUAGCGAAAGCGAGUCUUAAUAGGGCAAUUGUCACUGCUUAUGGUCCCGAACCUGGGUGAUCUAUCCAUGACCAGGAUGAAGCUUGGAUGAAACUAAGAAGAGGUCCGAACCAACUGAUGUCGAAGAAUUAGUGGAUGAGUUGUGGUUAGGGGUGAAAUGCCACUCGAACCCAGAGCUAGUUGGUUCUCCCCGAAAUGCGUUGAAGCGCAACAAUUGACUAGACAUCUAGGGGUAAAGCACUGUUUCGGUGCAGGCUGCGCGAGCGGUACCAAAUCGAGGCAAACUCUGAAUACUAGAUAUGACCAAAAAAUAACAGGGGUCAAGGUCGGCCAUUGAGACGAUGGGGGAUAAGCUUCAUCAUCGAGAGGGAAACAUCCCAGAUCAUCAGCUAAGGCCCCUAAAUGACCGCUCACUGAUGUGCAAAGACAGCCAGGAGGUUUGCCUAGAAGCGGCCACCCUUUAAAGAGUGCGUAAUAGCUCACUGAUCGAGCACCCUUGCACUGAAGAUGAACGGGGCUAAACGAUCUGCCGAAGUUGUGGGAUGUCAAAAUGCAUCGGUAGGGGAGCGUUUCGCCUUAGAGGGAAGCAACCGCGAAAGCGGGGGCCAACCAAGCGGAAGCGAGAAUGUCAGCUUGAGUAACGAAAACAUUGGUGAGAAUCCAAUGCCCCGAAAACCCAAGGUUUCCUCCGCAAGGUUCGUCCACGGAGGGAGAGUCGAGGCCUAAGAUUAGGCCGAAAGGCGUAGUCGUUGGACAACAGAUCAAUAUUCCUGUACUACCCCUUAUUGGUACGAAGGGAUGGAGGAGGCUAGGUUAGCCGAAAGAUGGUUAUAGGUUUAAGGACACAAGGUGACCCUGCUUUUUUAGGGUAAGAAGGGGUAGAGAAAAUGCCUCGAGCCGAGGUCCGAGUACCAAGCGCUGCAGCGCUGAAGUAUGAGCCCCGUGGACUAGUGAUUGCUUCUCCACGAGGCUCAUACUAGGCGCUAUGGCGCUGAAGUAUGUAACUAAUUCCAUACUCCCAGGAAAAGCUCGAACGACCUUCAACAAAAGGGUACCUGUACCCAAAACCGACACAAGUGGGUAGAUAGAGAAUACCUAGGGGCGCGAGACAACUCUCUCUAAGGAACUCGGCAAAAUAGCCCCGUAACUUAGGCGCUAUGGCGCAGAAGUAUGUAACUGAUGCCAUACUCCCAGGAAAAGCUCGAACGACCUUCAACAAAAGGGUACCUGUAACCGAAACCGACACAGGUGGGUAGGUAGAGAAUACCUAGGGGCGCGAGACAACUCUCUCUAAGGAACUCGGCAAAAUAGCCCCGUAACUUCAGGAGAUGGGGUGCCCCCUCACAAAAGGGGGCCACAGUGACCAGGCCCGGGCGACUGUUUACCAAAAAUAUAGGUCUCCGCAAAGUCGUAAGACCAUGUAUGGGGGCUGACGCCUACCCAGUGCCGGAAGGUCAAUGAAGUUGUUGAACUGAUGACAGGGAAACUGACGACCGAAGCCCCGGUGAACAGCGGACGUAACUAUAACGGUCCUAAGGUAGCAAAAUUCCUUGUCGGGUAAGUUCCGACCCGCAUGAAAGGCGUAACGAUCUGGGCACUGUCUCGGAGAGAGGCUCAGUGAAAUAGACAUGUCUGUGAAGAUGGAGACUACCUGCACCUGGACAGAAAGACCCUAUGAAGCUUUACUGUUCCUUGGGAUUGGCUUUGGGCCUUUCCUUCGCAGCUUAGGUGGAAGGCGAAGAAGGCCCCCUUCCGGGGGGCGAGCCAUCAGUGAGAUACCACUCUGGAAGAGCUCGGAUUCUAACCUUGCGUCAGACCCACGGGCCAAGGGACAGUCUCAGGUAUACAGUUUCUAUGGGGUGUAGGCCUCCCAAAAGGUAACGGAGGCGAGGAAAGGUUUCCUCGGGCCAAACGGACAUUGGUCCUCGAGUGCAAAGGCAGAAGGGAGCUUGACUGCAAGACUCACCCGUCGAGAAGAGACAAAAGUCGGCCUUAGUGAUCCGACUGUGCCGAGUGGAAGGGCCGUCGCUCAGCGGAUAAAAGUUACCCUAGGGAUAACAGGCUGAUCUUCCCCAAGAGUCCACAUCGACGGUAAGGUUUGGCACCUCGAUGUCGGCUCUUUGCCACCUGGAGCUGUAGGUGGUUCCAAGGGUUGGGCUAUUCGCCCAUUAAUGCGGUACGUGAGCUGGGUUCAGAACGUCGUGAGACAGUUCGGUCCAUAUCCAGUGUGGGCAUUAGAGCAUUGAGAGGACCUUUCCCUAGUACGAGAGGACCGGGAAGGACACACCUCUGGUGUACCAGUUAUCGUGCCUACGAUAAAUGCUGGGUAGCCAACUGCGGAGAGGAUAACUGCUGAAAGCAUAUAAGUAGUAAGCCCACCCCAAGAUGAGUGCUCUCUCCUCCGACUUCCCUAGAGCCUCUGAUAUCACAGCCGAGACAACGACGGGUUCUCCACCCAUACGGGGAUGGAGUGACAGAAGUAUGGAAAUAGGAUAAGGUAGCGGAGAGACGAGCCAUUUAAAUAGGUGUCAAGUGGAAGUGCAGUGAUGUAUGCAGCUAAGGCAUCCUAACGAACGAACGAUUUGAACCU
rnacentral:rRNA from 1 species